rnacentral:sRNA from 1 species
GAAAAAUUUAUUAAGGUUCGCUCCUUCUUCUUCACGGCGACGUGAGCUUUGUGAUGAUGAUGAAUGAAAAUGGUUCGAAGAGGUGUAAGGAGAAGGCGUACUGUAUAAUUUGAGAUUUUUAUGAAUGGAGUUUUGUGUUUAGGGUUUUUCGUGGUCUCUGUUUUCUGAUGCAGGUGGAAGACGUUGGAGUUCACGAUUUAGGGAAGGUGAAGGUGCGAAUUGGGGUUGCGCGAUUCUAGGGUUUCUGUUUCUGAUUUUGAGAUGAACUGUGUUGAUUUUCUGAGUUUGCAUAUUAAGAACCGCCAAGGAAAAAACAUGAUUUGUGCGAGAUGAUGGGGACACUGAAUCGCUUUUGCAUCGCUUUUGCAUCGCGGCAGAGGUGCAGUUGCGCGAGAAGGACUCUGAUUUCCCCUACUUUAAGGUGGUUCACGGACAAUACAGAACCUACGAAAGCGUUUCCAUCUCAAUUUAACCGAAGAGGUUUUGAUAUUAAUAUUAAUUACUCUCUAUACUAGAAUUUUUUGUUGCCGAUUCGCUAUAUCUUUUUCUUUCUCCUAACAACAAUGUGUGUCGUUGGUGCUUUCCCUCAUUAGCAGCAACAUGGAUGUGUGGCGGACUAGGCAGUAUGAUUAUAAUCAGAGGGUUUUGAAUGGGAUUUUGUGAAAUAGAUUGUCAAUAAUGAUCGUUUGCUUGUUCCCUUUUGACUAAAGCUCGCCCGAUGAUUGUUCAUAAAAUAGUAUUUGAUUUUAUAAGUCAUUGGAGGAUGGUUGGUUCACUGUAGUAUGGCUUAUAGAGUUUUCCGAGAAGAAUUAAUAGGUGGCAGAGUGCAGCCUCUAUUCUCCUUGUGAGGGUGGGAGGAAGAUUCUGAUGCAAAAAUAGUGAAUGCAUUCACGGCGGCUUGUGGCAUUGACGCCUUCACCGUCGGAGAAUCGGAGGUGUGGUGAAGAUGCAAAAUUUCUUAAUUUUGGGGUUUUACGGUGAUACAAAGAGGAGCGGUGGUGAACAGAUGAACGAUUUAGGAUUCACCUUUUUGGGAUUUUACGGUGCUGAAUGACAAAGAGAGGCUGAUCAUGGCGGAUGAAGUUAAUGCAGCAUGAGAUGCUUUGUUGGUGAAGAGGAAUGAAACUUCUAGGGUUUUUUUGAAUGCUCUUUCAUCUUUUUAUAUUUUUUUAAUUUACUAUUUCAUGUGAUAAUUUAAUUAUUUCCAUGUAAUAAAAUAUUCAUAUAAGUAUAUUUAUUCUCA